GGAGGCUGCUGAAGGGGAGAAAGGAGUGAGGAGCUGCUGGGCAGAGAGGGACUGUCCGGCUCCCAGAUGCUGGGCCUCCUGGGGAGCACAGCCCUCGUGGGAUGGAUCACAGGUGCUGCUGUGGCGGUCCUGCUGCUGCUGCUGCUGCUGGCCACCUGCCUUUUCCACGGACGGCAGGACUGUGACGUGGAGAGGAACCGUACAGCUGCAGGGGGAAACCGAGUCCGCCGGGCCCAGCCUUGGCCCUUCCGGCGGCGGGGCCACCUGGGAAUCUUUCACCAUCACCGUCAUCCUGGCCACGUAUCUCAUGUGCCGAAUGUGGGCCUCCACCACCACCACCACCCCCGCCACACCCCUCACCACCUCCACCACCACCACCACCCCCACCGCCACCAUCCCCGCCACGCUCGCUGAGGCUGCUGUCGCCGGUGCCUGUGGACAGCAGCUGCCCCUGCCCUCCCAUCUGUUCCCAGGACAAGUGGACCCCAUGUUUCCAUGUGGAAGGAUGCAUCUCUGGGGUGAACGAGGGGAACAAUAGACUGGGGCUUGCUCCAGCUGCAUUUGCAUGGCAUGCCCCAGUGUACUAUGGCAGCAGAGAAUGGAGGAACACUGGGUCUGCAGUGCUGAAGGGUUUGGGGAGUGGAGAGCAAGGGUGCUCUUUCGGGGCUGGACAGCCCGUCUUGUGACAGUGACUCCCAGUGAGCCCCAGAAAUGACAAGCGUGUCUUGGCAGAGCCAGCACACAAGUGGAUGUGAAGUGCCCGUCUUGACCUCCUCAUCAGGCUGCUGCAGGCCUCUGGCGGGCAGGGCACUGGGAGAGGCCCUGAGAAUGUCCUUUUGGUUUGGAGAAGGCAGUGUGAGGCUGCACAGUCAAUUCAUCGGUGCCUUAGUCCAAGAAAAUAAAAACCACUAAGAAGCUUUUGUGAAGAGGCUCUUGAUUGCAGCAUAGUGGGAGGGAGGGAGCUGCCUGGCCUGUGUCCUCAUUGCCCUGGGACCUCCCUCUCUGAUGGGAAGCGUGUGGCUGGAGCAGGCGAAGGUUGGAGCCGCUGCGAGCCUGGCUCCCCAGGGCUCUGCCCCUGUACUUUUUUCAGCCCAUGUCCAGGGCAGACUGAGCUCUGAAACUCGAGGAAGCCCCAUCCACAGGCUGCCUUGAAUCCAGUUUCCUUGGUAAUUGGAUCAGGGUUUCUUCUCCAAGCCUUGCGUUUUCAGCCAUCCUGCCCCAGCUGGUGCCUGUGUGUGGUGGGAGGGCUGGGAGGCAGCGAGUGGAGUUCUUUAAAGUGGAGGCUGUGGUGCUGGGGUGCAGGGUGUUGGAUGGCCUUGGGAGAAUGCUGGGGUCUCACUUUCCUCUUCUCUGCAAUGGGGUGGAUAACAGAGAUGCCCACGUGCCGAAGCCUGGAGGCUCGUUGGAAUAUGCUCUGUGAACAGCUAGUGGGAUCCACAGCGAGGAAGGAAGCCUGGCUCUGAGGCCUUCAGCCUGUGCCUGUGAGCUGAGGUGGGAAUUGGGGGAAGACAAGGACUGGGGGCCAGGAGAGGCAGUGGGGAGGGGCUGGAGAGCAGGCCAGAGACUCAGGGACCUGGUGACUCACUGGAAUAGAAUGUCCUCUUUCCUUUCUAUUUCCCAGUGGAUUCUCUGUGAGGGCUGCAGGAGGAGGGAGUGAGAGAGAGAGGGAGGCAAAUUCACACUGAUUUCUCCCACCUGAGGUUUCUGGGUUGGGAAAGUUGACCCUAGGCUGCCGUGCAGUGUCGAUUUUCUCUGCAGUGUCCUUCAAAUCCACCCCCUUCUCCAUUCCCAUGCCCUGCCUAGCCCAGCCCCCUCCAUCCCCCUCCUGGAUUCCUGCCAGCCUGCUCCCUGCAGCCCUGCCCCUUUCCCAGGCAUCUCCAGGCUGAUUUCACAGAUGAAUCAAAGAUGGGGAGGAGGUUCCCCGAAAGCAGGAAACGGAAAAGGAAGCCUAUGCAGGGCAGGAGAGAACCCGCUGAGCAAUUGCCCUUUAUUCCAGUUCAAAAAUGCGGAACCACUCAGACAAUCUGCAGGCGGCCUAUGGCUGCGUGUACACAGGAAGAAUAGGCGAUGAGAAAUCAAAGGAACAAAUGUUAAAGCUUGAGGCAUAGUCUCCUGGUGCCCUCUAUCACCCCAGUUAAGGAGGUGAUGUUGGUAACUCAACCUGAAACCACAGGCCCUGCAGAUCAGCCCGUCGUCUCCUUCCUCCUGGUCAUCCCAGUUAAUACAAACAAUCCAAGGAAUUGGCUUCCUGUCAUGGCCCACAGCCUGCUCCAUGUGGAGGAGGAGCCCAGGGCCCAGAUGGUCUCAUCAUCUCAGAAAAGGGACAGAUUGAGAAUAUGACAGGCUAUCGUUUGCUCUGAAAAGUUGCUCUCCCAUUCUGUGCAAAGUGCCAGUUUCCUAAUGCUGAUACUAAAGAAAGUUCCCUUGGGCCUUGGAGAAACUGAAAAGGACCCAGGCUAUGUGAACUUGGGCCAGCCCUCUGCCCUUUCUGGCACUUUGCACCCAGAUCAUUAAAACCGCAGAAUCAGAUGGUCGCUCUGUGGUCCCAUGGUAACUGGAAAGUGCACUGAGCUAGGAGUGGAGGGAGGGCGGUCCCUCCUCGGCCAUUGCUCGUGCCUGUUAACAUGGCUAAUUCAGAAUGGGGGGCAGGUCAUUUAACUUCUAUGACCAUAGGAUCUUUUUCUAUAAAAUGGAGGCUAUAUCGCUAUGCAGGGUUGCUGGGGAGGUUAUAUGAGAUCAUGUCUGGUGAGGUCCCAUGCCUGGAGUUAUUGUUCUCACUACUCUGUUUCCCAGAAUAUGGACAAAGUGGGGCUAAUAGCCCAGUCUCCUUUCUGGAAGUGGUGGGGGUCUCAGGAGGUGCUGGGUGUGAAAGGGCUCUCACCUGGCAGACUAACUCAGUUGCCUGGGCCUAGCUUAUUCCCCUGACCUCCUGGCAGGGAGGAGGGUGGAAAAGGCCUGGGGUGCGCAUGGCGGGACGGGAUAACUGCUGAGCGGGGGUUGGAGGGCUGCAGUGUGGGUCCUGGGCCCUCGCUCACAAUUGGAGGAAAGAAUUCAGGAAGUGCUCACAGCUGCUCAGACAUCUCGGAGCCAAGUUCCAACCAGGACAGAGGCUGCAGCACCCAGGGAGGAACGCCGUGGUCCCUGGGACGGCCACCAGGCCAGGAGGCUGCAGCACCAGGUACAGCCAGGGCUGGCCUUUGGGGAGCCCAGGGUAAAUCUUAAUAGUUCAAGAAUGUGAGCAACGGGCUAAGCAGGCAGCAAAGAGGGUGGGUGAGGCCGGCAUCUAAGAAGGCUCUUCCGGGACCUCCGGGUAAAGAGCCCCACGGUCAUGGACAGGGCAGGGAUUCCCGGGGAAGCACCUGAUACUCUAUCUAAACUGCAUGAUCCCAGCGCCAUGCAGAAAAGGACGCCAAAUGCAACCUGCCCCUGCCUCCAGCCCCCACUAAAGGCCCUGGCACCUGGGGUGACCCGUGAGUGUCCCCUGCCUUGCCCAGAGCUGGCGCAUGCCUUCCUCCCUCCUCAUGUCCCUGCCCCCAGCACAGGGCCAGGGGCUGGGGAGGCAGCAGAUAGGCCAAUUGAAGGACUGGCCCAAGGUCCCUCCUGGGGAGGAGCCGGGCUCCUCCUGCAUCCAUAGUAGGGGGAGUAUUUUGUCUUUGGUCUGGGCGUAACUUGCUCUUGAAAUCUGUAGGCGUCACCGGAGGGCCAGCGCUGGCUAGGCUGUCUCUGUGCAACGUCUUCUGACCCCUCCUCUCCACCUUCUCUGUGUCCAGGGAAUCUGUGCUCACGUCUUCCAGGACAGUGCUUCUUCUAGAAGCUGACAUGGAGCUGACCACAGCUCUUGGAGGCAUGGCCUGAGGCUUAGAAAAUAGACAGAGAUCAUCUGAGAUUUCAGCAGUGGGGCCACGUGGCAGCGCCCGAAGGCCUGGAGCAGGAGCGACCCAGGGACUCAGAGCAGCAUCUUCUUAGGAGACGGAAGGAGAGCCGCCGGAGGAGCACGGGGCACCUGCGAUCGCGAAGAGCCUCCUGUUCUGGAUGGGAGCGAAGGCUCCGAGAGGACCUAAGGUUGCUCAGUGGGCCAUGGAAACGGCAGUGAUUGGGGUGGUGGUGGUGCUGUUCGUGGUGACUGUGGCCAUCACCUGCGUCCUCUGCUGCUUCAGCUGUGACUCAAGGGCCCAGGAUCCUCAGGGGGGUCCUGGCCGCAGCUUCACGGUGGCCACGUUUCGCCAGGAAGCUUCUCUCUUCACGGGGCCUGUUCGCCAUGCCCAGCCAGUGCCAAGUGCCCAGGACUUCUGGACCUUCAUGUGACGCCCGAGUCCCCAGGAUUUGCUGUGCUGAUGGGUCAGACUCACCCGCUCCUCAGCAAGCCUUCCCUGGCCUUCCCCUCCUCCCAGGGCCUUCUCCCUGUCCUUCCCCUCCAGUAACCUGUGAACUUCCCGUCUCCUCCCAUUCCAGCCUUCUGUGCCCUCCAGCCUCAGGGAUCCUUGUUAUUGGGACAGCCCAGCUGGGGUUGACCCACAGGAUGGGGCUUAGGAGAGCUCUGAGGAGUGAGUGAACAGACAGCGCCGGAGUGCACGGUGGGCCGGCUCUGCUGAUCUACACCAGGAACUGAAAUAUCACUGGAAUUUAUUGUAAACGGUGUGCCUAUGAUGCUGGUUCUGUUGCCACCUGGGCACGCAGCACCCUCAAGUGGACAUUUCUAGAAACCGCUUCUUACUUGCUCCUAAUUGAUUACUUUUGCACAUUGCACAGAACCCAACCUCGAGGCCUGCUCCCUGCCAGUUGCCUGAAAUCAGCCCUGAAAUUCUGAAACCAAAGAGCUGCUUCCUGAGAACAAGUUAUUUACCUUAGAAUUGAAAAUGUAUAUCCUUUUAUGGGCCUUUCCAAAUCUGAUUAGAAAAACCACAAAAGGAAACAGAAGAGAAAAUAAGAGCCACAGAAAGUACAAUAUGUUUUAUUAACAGGAAAGCCAGAAAUAAGAUAUUUUAAACAUAUUUUUAAUGAGACUUUAUUGCUAUAUUCCAACAGGUCACUCCUAUUCUUAGAGAAUGUGAAUGACUUGUGUCACUUCGGAGUGACAGAAAAAUCAGGAACUGAAAGAUAAUUCCAGACAAGUUAAAAUGUUAUGUUACAUUCAAAGCUCUUGUUUUCAUCACAAAUAAGGGGAUAUUCAGUUUUUAUUAACAGAAAACCCAUUCUCCCAUGGCCAUGGAAUAAAUGCCAUGCUAUAUUUAAGGAGUUUGGUUUGAAGGGUGCAAAAUUGUGAGCCUCCUGGCUCUUAUGUCUGUAUCCAGCCCUGAAUAGAUGGCUCUCCCAGGACCUGUUUGUUGAGGGGGGCAGGACUGAGCUUUAGGGGGGCUCUGGCCUCUAAGGGUGUCCAGACAGGCUGCCCUUGCCAUGUGGCUGCCAUGGGAAGGGCUUUCAGAGUGGCUUGGAGCUGGAGAGGUGCACGCGGGGAGGGGGAAGUGGUGGGGAGAGUGAGGCUGACGGAGAGGGAUGGGGAGGAGCAUGGUGGGCGAGGCUCAGCCCAGGUCCAGGAGCUCCUGGGACCAUGUCCUGGACACUCCUGACACCAGCCCUCGACGCAGGGCCUUCAGAGAUGCACAGAGAAGGGAACGGCACAUGUGGGGAGGCCCUGGAGACGGAGGGAAGAGAACUUUUGAGGGCUGUGUUCUCUAAAAGCGAACAGUGAGACAAAGUUCGGGUGCAAGAUAUUUGUCAGGGAUCAACACCUACAAAGGGGAGAAGGAAGAAGCAGGAUUGGGCAGAGGAAGAAGUCAAACCGUGAUGCAGGUCCUUCAUAUCCCCACCUUUGCUCCGUCUCUGAGUCCCUCUCCCCUCUCCCAGGGUCUGACCUCAGCCAGGGCAGCUCUCUGCAGCUGAGGCAGGUCUUGAAGCCCUUCCUAUUUUAUUAUUUUUAUUUUAUUUUAUUUUAUUUUAUUUUAUUUUAGGAGAUGGGAUCUCACUCUGCCACCUGGGCCAGAGUGCAGUCGUGUGAUCAUAGGUCACUGCAGCCUCAAAUUCCAGGGCUCAGUCAAUCCUCCCACCUCCGCCUCCUGAGUGGCUGGGACUAUAGGUGCAUGCCACCGUGCCUAGCUAAUUAAAAAAUCCUUUUCUUGUAGAGAUGGGAUUUCACUAUGUUUCCAAACCUGGUCUUGAACUCUCCUGGCCUCAAGUGAUCCUCCCACCUUGGCCUCCCAAAAUGUUGGGAUUACAGGUGUGAGCCAUUGCAUUUGGCUGAAGUCCUUCCUUUGAAGGGGACCUGGGCAGCACAUCUCCACAGAAACUCUGUAGGGUCCUGUUCUUGGAAGAGCCUAGACUGGUCAGAGGUGGGUGAAUAUGUCCAGACACAAAGAAAAACCUGGGCACAGGAGAUCUAUGAGAGGAGAGACGGCCGUGCAGGAUCUGGAAGGGAGAAGAGUGGGCCUCAGUCUCCCUCUCUCCUCAGCCAGAGUCAGCUCUGCUCCAGCUCAGGCACCCUUCACCAGGAGCCAGGCCCAGGGCUCUGCUCUUGUACUGUGUGGUCACAGCACUCACUAGGUCAGUCCGGGAGGGUCUGCAGGCUGGAAUCACAGGGCCGUGAAAACAAAGUGCUGGUGAAGCGGGCAUGGGGAGGGAGCCUGGCCUCCCUCUGCAGGAGACAGGCUGUCUGCCAAGCCCGGCACGCUCUUCAUUUGUUCACCUGCCCAUCUGCCCAUCCAUCCACCCACCCAUCCAUCUACUCCUGGAGUAGAUGCCGCCUCACUUACCCAUGCAUUCAUUCACUUAUUCAUUCACUCCUCCGUUCAGUAAACACUGACUGGGCACUGACUGUGUACCCAGCCCGGCCAAGGGAACGUGGGGGUCAACUGGACAUUUGGAUCCCGUGGACUCCUAGAUAAGGCUGUAUGUGUGUGGUGUGUUUUAUGUGGGUAUGAUGAGUAUGUGGUGUGUGUGUAAGCUGUAUAUGUGUAGUGAGUGUGUGUGGUGUGUGUUUUUGUAUUCUGUGAUGUGUGUGUAAGCUGUAUGUGUGUAGUGAGUGUGUGUGUUUUUGUUUGCUGUGGUGUGUGUGUAAGCUGUAUGUGUGUAGUGAGUGUGUGUGUUUUUGUUUGCUGUGAUGUGUGUGUAAGCUGUAUGUGUGUAGUGAGUGUGUGUGUUUUUGUUUGCUGUGGUGUGUGUGUAAGCUGUAUGUGUGUAGUGAGUGUGUGUGUUUUUGUUUGCUGUGGUGUGUGUGUAAGCUGUAUGUGUGUAGUGUGUAUUUUUUUAUGCUGUGGUGUGUGUGUAAGCUGUAUGUGUGUAGUGUGUGUGUUUUUGUAUGCUGUAGUGUGUGUGUAAGUUGUAUGUGUGUAGUGAGUGUGUGUGUUUUUGUUUGCUGUGGUGUGUGUGUAAGCUGUAUGUGUGUAGUGUGUGUGUUUUUGUAUGCUGUGGUGUGUGUGUAAGCUGUAUGUGUGUAGUGUGUGUGUUUUUGUAUGCUGUAGUGUGUGUGUAAGUUGUAUGUGUGUAGUGUGUGUGUUUUUGUAUGCUGUGGUGUGUGUGUAAGCUGUAUGUGUGUAGUGUGUGUGUUUUUGUAUGCUGUGGUGUGUGUGUAAGCUGUAUGUGUGUAGUGUGUGUGUUUUUGUAUGCUGUAGUGUGUGUGUAAGUUGUAUGUGUGUAGUGAGUGUGUGUGUUUUUGUUUGCUGUGGUGUGUGUGUAAGUUGUAUGUGUGUAGUGAGUGUGUGUUUUUGUAUGCUGUAGUGUGUGUGUAAGCUGUAUGUGUGUAGUGAGUGUGUGUGUUUUUGUAUGCUGUAGUGUGUGUGUAAGCUGUAUGUGUGUAGUGAGUGUGUGUGUUUUUGUUUGCUGUGGUGUGUGUGUAAGUUGUAUGUGUGUGGUGAGUGUGUGUGUUUUUGUAUGCUGUGGUGUGUGUGUAAGUUGUAUGUGUGUAGUGUGUGUUUUUGUAUUCUGUGAUGUGUGUGUAAGCUGUAUGUGUGUAGUGAGUGUGUGUGUUUUUGUAUGCUGUGGUGUGUGUGUAAGUUGUAUGUGUGUAGUGAGUGUGUGUGUUUUUGUAUGCUGUAGUGUGUGUUGGCCCCAGGUACCCCUGCCAUUCUCCGCAGUGUAGCCUGCUGUAUAAGAAGCAGGAGGGGCCCAGCAACAGGGCAGCGGAAGCCUCUUGCUAUGACGGUGGCCUCUUCCUAUUGUCCCCAAGGGCAGGAGGUGGCUGUGCAGGGACAAGACUGAGGCUGGCGCCAACAUGCAGCAAAGCCGGGAGUGCUUAUCUGGUGGUAGUGAGGGAAGCGGCUGUGCAAGGUCACCCUGGAAUCUGGGGUGGAGCCACACUCAGGCCUCCCAGCUUCCAAACCGAGCAUUCUCAAUUCUACUUCUCUUGCUGGUUCCAUUUACUUGCCUUUUUUUUUUUUGGAGACGGAGUCUUGCUCUGUCGUCCAGGCUAGAGUGCAGUGGCAUGAUCUUGGCUCACUACAAGCUCUGCCCCUGGGGUUCAUGCCAUUCUCCUGCCUCAGCUCCACAGGAGCCCGCCACCAUGCCCUGCUAAUUUUUUUGUAUUUUUAGUAGAGACGGGGUUUCACCGUGUUAGCCGGGAUGGUCUCCAUCUCCUGACCUCGUGAUCGCCUGCUUCAGCCUCCCAAAGUGCUGGGAUUACAGGCGUGAGCUACCGCGCCCAGCCCAUUUACUGGACUUUUAUGACACACCAGGCACAUUGUGCUUCCUCUGUGUCCUCUCAUGAGUGUAUACAGCAACUCCAUCACCUCCAUUUUACAGAUGAGGGAACCGAGCCCCCAUGCUUUGAGCCACUUUGGGCAAAUACCAAAUCUGCAGAACAGUGCUAAGUAGUCAUUUUCCUCCAUAAGUGAUAUCUGCAUCCAGCCAAUUCUCAGGGACACAGUUCAUAUCUUCAGGAGGAAGGGAGCCAGGGGAUCUGAUUUGCUCCAGGUUCACCUGAGCAAAAGCCUUGCUGGCACCUACCCAUCUGCACCUUUUUUUUUUUUUUUUUUUUUUGAGGCAGAGUCUGGAUCUGUCGCCCAGGCUGGAAUGCAAUGGCACGAUCUCAUCUCACUGCAACGUCCGCCUCCUGGGUUCAAGCAAUUCUCAUGCCUCAGCCUCCCGAGUAGCUGGGAUUAAAGGUGCACACGACCACCCCUGGCUAAUUUUUGUAGUUUUUGCAGAGAUGGGGUUUCACCACGUUGGCCAGGCUGGUGUCAAACUCCUGGCCUGAAGUGAUCCACUGGCCUCGGCCUCCCAAAAUGCUGGGAUUACAGGUGUGAGCCACCACUCCCGGCCCCAUCUGCAUCUUUGACUUGAAGAAGAAGCAGGUCUUUGCCCUGUACAGUUUUAAUUGACAGUCCAGGAAGCCUCCCUCAUAGAGUAAACUUCUGUGGACGGCUGGAAUUAAGGGUUAACAGACAUCAGUCCUGACCCAGCCUGCUUAAGGCCUUCCUAAGGCUUUGCACCUGCAGAGAUACAGGCCGUGCCUCUCUGAGCAAUGAGUCUUGCUUCUCCUUCACUUCCUGGGGCUUCUCUCAGCUCCACAUGGGGCAAAGAGCAGGGAGAACCCUGCUCAGUUCUGUCUAGCCCGACUGGGACGUGGAAAGGCUAAUCCGAGCCCCACUUCUGCCACUCAGUUGCUGGGCCUCAGUUUCCCUGGCUGUACGGAGAAGGUAAGAAUCCCAUCCCGGCUUGUCUAGAGGACGUGUUAGAGUGAAGAUCCUGGGAACCCAGCUGUCAGGAACGGUCAAGGGAAAGAGGCCCGCCCCGCUCUGCCUGCCCUCCUCCCCACCACCUCCAACCCUCGCCCUGCUCUUUCUCCGCAUUCCUGGACCUGAAACCAGGGUGGCGUUUCUCGCUGGGACAGGCUGGAUUCUGGAAUCUAGGAGGCCUUGAAAUAACAUGUUUUCCGGAAAAGUACCUUCCUUAAAGGAAACUGCUUGUUCCAGGGAGUAGAAAAGGAUCAUUGUACCUUGCCAGGUCCCCAUUCCCCUGAGGACAUGACAUUUGAAAAGGCAGACUCAGUUGGAGACAGAGACCUGCACCCCCUGCCCUGUGCCUCCAUCCAGCAUAUUCGUAAUAGUGAAAAGUUAGAAACCACCUCGACACCAGCAGGAGGGGGCUGGGCUGGCAAAUUGCAACACAGCCACAGAAUCAAAUGCUAGGCAGGUGUUAACGACAAUGAGGUAAAUUUAAACUCAUUAACCUGAAAGGGCAUUUAUCAUGUGUUGGUAAAUUAAAAGGGAAUUAGAGGACUAUAAAUGUAGCUGCACCCUUAGACGCAUAGAAGACGAUGUGGAGAGCUGUAUGCCGAGGUGUUGAUAGGCCAUUGUCUCUGGGUGGGUGGGACUGUUUGUGCAUUUUAUUUUUUAUUUACUUACUUUUUUUUUUUUUUGAGAUAGAACUUUGCUCUCUUUGCCCAGGCUGGAGUGCAGUGGCACGAUCUCGGCUCACUGCAUCCUCUGCCUCCUGGGUUCAAGUGAUUCUCCUGCCUCAGCCUCCCAAGUAGCUGGGACUACAGGCAGGCGCUACCACACUUGGCUAAUUUUGUAUUUUUAGUAGAGACAGGGUUUAACCAUGUUGGCCAGGCUGGUCUUGAACUCCUGACCUCAGGUGAUCUGCCCACCUCGGCCUCCCAAAGUGCUGAGAUUACAGGCGUGAGCCACUGCGCCUUGCCUAUUUGUGCAUUUUAAAUGUUUUCCCUUUGUGUUUAUCUGAAUUUCUCAUAAUGAAUGAUUUGCUCUUGAAUAAGAAAGAGCAAGAACCUAACAAAGGAACAAAAGUUAUUUUAAAAAUUAUAAAACAAACCAACUCCAAUCUAAGAGAUACAAAAACACAGUCAGGCAUAGACACAAAAAUGGGGGCAGAUGAAUUUCUCAGAACAGAUACAAUGAUAAGGACACACACACACAUACACACAGACACACACCUCUCUUCUGCCUAAUUCACAUGGCUGAGGUAGGCAAGGCUGGGGAGUUGCAAGCGGUAGGGGUUUGCCAAGUUUCCAGGAACACCGGAGUCUGGGUGUUGGGGUGGCUGCUGGAGCUUCUGGGCAGGUUGGGUGGGCUGAGGAGAGUACAGGGAGCAGCCUGGGGCUCACUAGCCUGAGUGAGAGGCCUGGCUGUACGACACCCAGCCUGCACCUCCUGGGACAGGGUAAGGCUCCUAAUCCCAGCUCCCCAGUUCAGGCAAGACUGAGGAGCCUGCCAAAGCAACUCUUCCCCAUCCCAGCAGUGGAGGGAGACAGCAGGGUCCACAGCUGGGGAGGAGCUUCCUGGCAACCACCUACGACUUCCAGGCUGAGGCCUUGUCAGCUGCCUACGGACCCCACUUAGGAAGCCAGGGCUGUGGUGGCUCAUACAGGGACCCUCUGUCCUUGUCCUCCUGAGAUACAGGCACAGCCACAGCCCUGGUGUGGGGCCUGGCCUGAGGCAAGGGGUGGAUGCAUGUCCUCCAUCAUCCCCACUGUCACUGUGCUUGCGCAGACCUCACCAUGUCAUCUCCUUAUGGGCCUCCCUGGCCUCACCUCACCCCUGCCCACCCGGCCGCCAGAGAGCUCUUUCUUGGACACAGACCUAACUCCUUAGAGGGCUAUUGGGUGGGUCUCUGUUCCCACCUUCAGAGUUCGCUAUCUGUGGUAGGCAUAAUAAUCAUCCCUCAAAGAUGUCCAUGUCCUAAUCCCUAGAAGCUGAGAAAAUGUUAUGUUCACCAAGGGGAAUUAAGAUUGCAGAUGAAAUCACAGUUGCUAAUCGGUAGACCUUAAAUAAGAUUAUCCCAGAUUAUCUGGGCAGGCCCAAUGCAGUAAGAAAUGUCCCUUCACUGUGGAGGAGGAGGGCAGAGGAGUCAGGGCAGGUGAUGUAAGAAAGACCUGAAGACAGAAGCAGGCCACCAGCCAAGGAGUGUGAGAGUCUCUAGAAACCAGAAAGGAAAAGACAAGGAAAAGCAUUCUCCCCAGUUGCCUCCAGAUGGGAACAUAGCCCUGCCAACAUCUUUUUUUUUUUUUUUUUUUGAGACUGAGUCUCGCUCUGUCGCCCGGGCUGGAGUGCAGUGGUGCGAUCUCGGCUCACUGCAAGCUCCGCCUCCCAGGUUCACGCCAUUCUCCUGCCUCAACCUCCCCGCCCGGCUAGUUUUUUGUAUUUUUAGUAGAGAUGGGGUUUCACUGUGUUAGCCAGGAUAGUCUCGAUCUCCUGACCUUGUGAUCCGCCCGUCUCAGCCUCCCAAAGUGCUGGGAUUACAGGCGUGAGCCACCGCGCCCGGCCUGCCCUGCCAACAUUUUGAUUUUAGCCUAGUGAGUCCUAUUUUGGUCUCUGAUCUCCAGAACUAUAAGAUAAUACAUUUGUGUUGUUUUAAGCCACUAUAUUUAUGCUAAGUUGUUAUAGCAACAAAGUAUUCUUAGCUCAACCAUUAGUGCUCACAAAGACUUAGCCUUGAAUUAGCUCCUCUAGUUAAAUCUAUUCCUGGCCGCCAAGAGACAGAGAAAGGUGGCCUCUGAGGGGGUCAGGUCUUACAGCUGAAGAAGGCUGUUGGGUCUGGAGUAUGGGUGGGCUGACCACUUAGAGAUAGGGAAGGGAGUCAGAAAUUACAUUUCCUAGUAAGUAGGAUGAGAGUGAUAAUGUGACAAUUGUCAGGCCCUGCACCAGGUGUUGGGCAAUGUGCAAACCCAGUCAUCCUUAUCCUUACCCUACAGAAACACCCACGCAAGUGUGCAAGCAUGUACGUCCAAGGUUGUUCUUACAGUAUUGUUUCUAUUAGCAAAACAUUAUAAAAAUCCAAGUACCCAUCAAUUGGGAAAUACAUAAAGAUUAUGAUACAGCCACAAAAAAUGGAAUAAUAGGCAGCCAUUACAAAAAUGUACUGACUUGGAAACUGCCCUCUAUACAUAGAGAAAAAACAGCAAGUUACAGAAUGGUCUCAUAAAACAAAAACAAAAACAAACAAACCAAAAAACACUUUUCCUCCUCAAGAAAACAAAAAUAAGAACAAAAAAACCUCCUAAAUUACACAUAUGCGUAUGUGUUUGUAUGAACCUAGGAAAAUGUCAGGAAGGAUGUGAUGGCCUCUGGGGGACAGGCUUGGAGGAAGAAGGAAGCUUAUGUUUUACUUCAUAUCCUUCUGUCCUGUUCCACCUUAUUUGAACAAGCAUGUGUUGCUUUUUAUUACAAUGUUAAAAGGAAAAAUCCUUAGACUAACUAAGUUCAACAGUUUACUUGACCAAUUAAAAUGAUUCAAAACAAAGAGAAACAAAAAACAAUUUGGGAAUCAGGCAGCCCCCCAGAACCAAAACAGGUUCAGAGAACUUUCAGAGAACUCAGGCCAACACCAUGAUCAGGCAACAUUUGUAGAUAGAGAGAGAACAGAAGUGAGAUACAGAGACAACUUAAUUGGUUACAGCUUAAUUGGUUGAUUAGUUCUACCUAAACGUCUUACCUUAUUCAACUCAGCUGACCUACUGUAGUUCAUUAAGUUCAGCUGUGUGACUCACUGAACCUCAACCAUUUGCAAGAAUAUAUUCCUAAAGUAAUUAGUUUCAUUAAGCGUGAUGGCUUCAUAUUGGUUUGGUCUGCUAGGCUCAGUAAAGGACACUAAUUCAAAUCAAUGGCCUCCUAUUUUAACACAUAAUAACUUUUUUAAUGUUAAGAUAACACAGGUUAAGAAAGCAAACUUGACUGUCCUGUUCUGUGACAAACAGCUGUUAUUUGCAAAAAGGACUCCCUGGGUUGAGGGAGACCAGAGCUCCACUUAGCAAGGCCACUCAGGAAACAGAUGGACCAACUUGAGUUCUUUUUCUGUGUGAGCUCAUCUGGGGAAUGAGACACUGUGGAUCUUCUGAGUGGAAAAGUGGAGUCAUUCAAGCCCUCCUGGCUUCUACAGAGCCUGAUCCUGGCUACUUACAGAAUGGCUGCACUUUAAACCCAAGGUGUUCUUUGCACCCUGUAGCCCCAGCCCAUAAAAGAGACAAACACUGGCAGAGAGAUGGUCCCAGGAGAGCAGCCGGGAGGAGGCACUGGAGUUCAGGGCUCCAGUCCCAGCUCUGCUCAUCUGGCUCCUAUGACGAGGGUUGUAUCCAGUGUGUGGACGUCCCCUCUCCUCAGGCUGGAAACCCUCUGAGGUCAGUGCAGAGCCUCGGAAUAGCGACAUUGACAUCUGUCUGGCACAUAAUGGCCUUCAAGGUGUCCUAAGUUUACAAAGCUCUUUCCCAGGCAUCUCUCAGUUGUCUCCCAUAACAAGCCUUGGGGCCCAGUAAAGCAGGCUGUAUUAACCGCAGUUUACGGAUGAGGGAACCAAGACUUAGAGACACAAAAGUGACAGGCCCCACUCCAAGUCACUCAACAAAUUGGUCACAAAGUUCAGCACAGGACCAUAUUAUCCCCUCUCCUUCAGCCAGAGCCUCAUUUUUGCCUCUUUUAUAUCUUCUGUUUCCCAGGUAGAUUUUGCUUGAUAAAAAGGGGUCUGCUGCUUUAAAAGGUUUGAAAGCUCCAGAAUAAUGUUUCCAAAUUCCCCGCGAAUACUUCUGUUCAGUAUUCAGGAAUGAGAAAUUGAAAUUUCUGGGAAUUCAUGAGCAUUCCUGAAAUUAUACAUUAAAUUUUUUUUUUUUUGGAGACAGGAUCUUACUCUGUCACCCAGGCUGGAGUACAGUGGUACGAUCAUAGCUCACUGCAGCCUCGAACUCCUGAGCUCAAGUGACCCUCCUUCCUCAGCCUCCCGAGUAGCUGAGACUAUAGGUACAUGCCUAUAGAGUGUGCCCCUAACAUCUUCAUGUUAGCCAUUAGGGUGCUCCUGGCUAUUUUGUUUUCUUCUUUUCUAGAGACAGAGUCUUACUAUGUGACCAGGCUGGUUUUGAACUCCUGGCCUCAAGCUAUCUUCCUGCUUCAGCCUUUCAAAGUGUUGGGAUGACAGGUGUGAGUCACUGCGCCUGGCUCAUAUUUUCUAUAACAUUAUAUUCACAUACUUUUAAAUAAUAAUGAAUGACCAGAAUAAUAAACAGUUAAUAAUUGUCAGUGACAAAUUGAUGCUAAAAGUUCCAGACUUUUUCCUUAAGGUUUAUUAUUAUUAUGAACCAAUAUGUUGUGACAAGAUUAUUUCAAUAACAUAAAAAUUAUCUCCACCUGAUAUAGGCACUGGAUAUAGAAAACAUUAAAAAGGAGGGAACAUUAUUGCAAAAUAAAUGCCAGAUAAAAAUCACUUAAAAAUGGAAAAAUAAUAGCACAAACAUUUAAUUUUAAAAGUUAUUUUUAAAAUGAACUUUUAAAACACAAAGCUUUAAUUGCUCUAUCUGAUAGUUUUGAUCUUUGUUUUGUGACAAAUAUUCUAGAUGUAGGAAACUUUUUUGUUUUUUCAUUUUUCAUUGAUGUUGGUUGAGUGUGCCCCUAACAUCUUCAGGUUAGCCAUUAGGGUACAUGUUGUUUUAUAGAAGCUCAUUUCCUUUUUAAAUGAUGCUUUAUUUUUAUUUUUACUUUUUGGUCUGCUUACUCUGGUCUUGAUUUUGCCAUUGAGAUCAAUAUUGCUCUUGCUAAUUCAGAUUUUAGAGCAAUUUCUGAUUUCCUUCUGGAGUGUUCUAUAACAGCAAUCACGUCUUCUUUUUGCAUCUCUUCUGUUAAAGUAUUUACAAAGAACUGUAGCCUAUAAUGAAUAUUCAACACGUGGAAAUGCCAGCAAUCAUUACUGGGAAGUGUUCAAAUAACUAACAUUCAGACUCACUAACAAGGUUCAUAGAAUCACUUGUUGGAAUUGCCAGUUUCAAGACUUAUUUUGCUUUCAAAAUUUGUUAUUUUUUUCCGACACUGCUCAUAGGACUUGUAUAAGUAUCCUAUGUGUACAAACUUACCAAUAUUUGUUUUAUUUGCAAAAAUGACUUACCAUUAGAAGCAGACCAGGUCACAAACACACACUUAUAACCAGUGUGUGCUGGUAAACUGACUCUCCUGGAGAAAAAAAAAAAAACCCUUAUAUGUAGGGUUUGCCAAAUUCUGAGGGGAGGCAUAAAUGUUCCCACAAUGGUCAAUGCCCAGCUACCGAGGGGAUGUCACUGAGAGCUGGGAAGAGCAGCAUACAACUGGCUCUUCUUGAGCCAGCGCUAGCCCACCACCACCUCUACCCUGGCAACAGCAGUCGGAAGACUGAUUAGAUGAUGGCCUUUUCUCUCCUCUACUCCCCAGUUCCAUUCAGAACUUAACUUUCCUAUGGGUGCCUCAGUAUUUUCUACUCUCGCUUUUGAUUUGGUGUCAGUGGAUUCCUUUGAACUAGUCACAUCUAGUUCAACAUGUUGAUUGCUAAGCUUUAAUUCUCACACAAAAACACUCUUACCAGGUUCCUAGAUGUCUUAACUUCUUUUUCUCAGGAAUUGGCAUUUGGAAAAACAGUAUUUCCGAGAAAUGCUGGGAAGGAAUUCCUGCAUAAAAACACAAAUCUGGCCGGGCACGGUGGCUCGUGCCUGUAUUCCCAGCACUUUGGGAGGCUGAGGCAGGUGGAUCAUGAGGUCAAGAGAUCAAGACCAUCCUGGCCAGCAUGGUGAAACCCCAUCUGUACUAAAAAUAUAAAAAUUAGCUGGGCGUGGUGGUGCGCGCCUGUAGUCCCAGCUACUCGGGAGGCUGAGGCAGGAGAAUCACUUGAACCCGGGAGAUGGAGGUUGCAGUGAGCCGAGAUUGUGCCACUGCACUCCAGCCUGGGCAACAGAGGGAGACUCCAUCUCAAACAAAGCAAAACAAAACACAACACAAAUCCAGGAAACCCAAGUAAAACCUAUUUGCUUGACUGAUCGUGAUCCUACUGGAUACAUUCUCCUGGGUCCCAAUUUUGGCCACCGCUCAUUUUCAUUGAUCUCAUUUUAAGGGGUUUGAGGUAUGGAGUCCUUAGGAUUUGGUGUUAAGUUUGGUGAUUUUUCAGAGAGGCCGCACCAGAGCUGCAUCGGUGAUCAUUUGACUUUAUGUCUGACCCUGUGCACAGGGGUCUACUUGUCUCCUAACCUCAGUUUUCCUCUUUUUCCUUAUUAGAAAAACAACAAUAACAUCAACACAGUCCCUCUUGGAACUAGGAAUGGCCAGUAGAAGUGGUGUGUGACUUCUGGGAAAUGUCCUUAAAUAGAGGCGGAAUACUCUUCUUUGUUUUUUCUCCUUUAUCUGGCCAGAAUGUAGAUAUAAUGGCUGGAGCUACAGAAGUCAGAUUGGACCAGAGUGGCCUUGGGAGUAGAAGCCCCAUUUGGGGGAACAAUAAGAUAAAAGGGGCCUGGGUUCCUGAUACUGUGGGAGCCCAUAUCAGUCCUAUACUGCCUUCUUCCAGGCUUUUAUACCAAAGCAAAACAGUCUUAUUUAAACCACUAUUGAUAUGUGGUUUUCUAUCACUCAUAACUGAAACAAAUUAAACAGCACACCAGUGCAUUGUAUUCUGUUACAUAGUUUAUGGGAGGCCAUUGUUUUGGACUAGCCUCCUACACUGGCCCUAGCAGAGCAGAUCAAACCAGAGCAGAGUCACCUGUGCUAACUGCCAAGUCAUCAAACCGGACUUUGAAAUGAGGCAGUUUUCCAAAAACGCAGGAGCUUCCAGUCACCCUGAAUCAGCACAAUAAAAAGUGCCCUCUGCUUUAACCCUAUAAGGAAAGCAACUUUGAAAUGACCAAUCUGCUUUUUGUUCCCUGUUUCUGCUUUCUUCAGCCCUCUUUUAUCCAUAAAGCCAAACUUCUCUGCCCACUUCACUGGAAUACUCAUUCUAUUUCGUAGAAUGAGGUGUUGCCUGAUUCUAGAAUCACAAAUAAAAGCCAAUUUGAUCAUUACAAAUAAUUUGUUGUAAUUUUGCCUUUGGGAAGUUCCUAGUGAAAGCAAAAGCUACUAGCAAGAAUCCUUGAAAGGUUUGUAAUGGAGGUGAAAAUGAAAGACUGUAGCAUUACCCAGUGACUCAGAGAGUGUGGGGGAGGCAGCUGCAUCUAGUGAUAAUGGAUGAUACAUUUGGAAUAGAAGAGGCUGUGGUUUCAUGCAUGCCUGUCUUCCCAUCUGCCAAGAAGGCUGAUGAAUAAGCUUUUAUACUCCUCUAAGUUGGUAAAAGAAGUUUUCAGAUUUUUAAUACUCAAAGGUCUUUUCACAAAUGACUAUGACCUUUUCUUUUCUUUUCGAGACAGGGUUUCACUCCCGUCGCCCAGGCUGGAAUGCAGUGGUGAAAUCUCGGCUCACUGCAACCUCUGCCUCCUGGGCUCAAAUGAUCCUCUCGCCUCAGCCUCCUGAGUAGCUGGGACUACAGGCAUGCAGCACUGCGCCCAGCUAAGUUUUGUAUUUUUUCUAGAGACGGAAUUUUGCCGUGUUGCCUAGGCUGCUCUGGAACUCCUGAGCUCAAGUGAUCCACCUGCCUUGGCCUCCUGAAGUGCUGGGAUUACAGGUCGGAGCCACUGCGCCUGGCCUCUAUGCCUGUGGUCUUUAGUUUGUAGGAACCAGACCACUCAAAGGCUGGAACGUACCUUAUUGCUCUGCCAGUGAAUGGUUUAGGAACUGGCUGAAGGAGCUGGGGAUUCAGUCUAGGAAGAACUUACAGGAGUUGGGAUUGGGUUUGAGAGCUGCUUUCACACAUCUAAGUAAAAAAGAUUUAGCCUUCCUCACAGAGGGCUCUAGGCCAAAACCAGAACCCAAAGGUGGAGGCUGCCAACUUUACCCUAAAUUAAAGAGAAACCUCCUACCCAUCAGAACUGGAUGGAGGUAGCUUUUUGAUAGCAACUCUCCACUGCUGGGAAUAUUUAAUCAAAGGAUGCAGAAGGAGUCAUUAACUGAGCAGCAGUUCCCAUAUACCAGCCUAUGUAUUGGUACCUACCUGUCUAUAACAUUUUCCAGGUCUCAGCCAGGCACGGUGGCUCAUGCUUGUAAUCCCAGCACUUUGGGAGGCUGAGGUGGAAGGAUCUCUUGAGCCCGGGAGUUACCAGCCCGGGCGACACAGGGAGACCCUGUCUCUACAAAUAAUUUAAAAAUUAGCCAGGCAUGAUGGUGCACACGUGUGUGGUCCCAGCUACUUGGAAGGCUGAGGAGGAGAAUCAAUUGAGCCCAGGAGGUCGAGGCUGCAGUGAGCUGUGAUUGUGCUACUGCACUCCAGCCUGGGUAACAAAGCAAGACCCUGUCUCAAAAAAAAAAAAAAAAAAAAAAAGAGAGAGAGAGAGAAAAAAAGGCAAUGUAGUACAUUUUAAAAAUAAAACUAAAUAUUUGCAAUUUGAAGUACAUUCUCUUUAUUCCAAGAUUAUGUUCUUUCUAUUUCAGGAGGUGUUAUAAUGUCUUUUUUUAGUAGUAGGUGGUAUUAGCUAUUGUUGUUUAACACCCUAAUUAGACAACAUAAAAUCUUGGCAAUCCUAUAUAAUUCCAUUAAAAUUUACACUGGCUAUAAGAUCUAGAAGUCUGGUAAUAUGGAUGAGAUGACACCUGGUUGUCUGAAUUGACCUUCCAAGGAUUAGUAGUUCAUUCGAGUGUCUACUAGAUGCCAUUUUUGUGUAUUUACAGCAACUAGAUAAUUUCAUGGUUCAAAUCAGAGAAACCAGUAAUGUGAUCCACGUGCUUAUGGUAACUUAAACUUUAUUGACUAUUCAUUUUUGACACAUAUAGCUACUUUUUGAUAGACAUGAAUUUUCUAUUUGCAUUUAAAAACAAAACUAAUUUUCAAAGUUCUAUUCUCAAAAUGGCAAUGAUGACCUUUCUAAAUGCUCUCUUUAAAUAAUCCUCCAAUAUUCUCAGAAAUUUAGUGUACCUACAGCAAACUAUUUCUCUUAGUAAAAGCCUUCUGUGAGCAACUUAACUGUCUGAUGUCUUUAUCCGUGUGAGCAGGGACUGGGUCCUGUCCUUUUUCUUUUUUUUUUUUGUUUGAGAUGGAGUCUCCCUCUGUUGCCAAGCUGGAGUGCAGUGGCAUGAUUUUGGCUCACUGCAACCUCCACCUCCAGGGUUCAAGUGAUUCUCCUGCCUCAGCCUCCCAAAGUAGCUGGGACUACAAGUAUGCGCCACCACGCCUGGCUAAUUUUUGUAUUUUUAGUAGAGACAGGGUUUCACCAUGUUGGCCAGGAUGGUCUCGAUCUCUUGACCUCAUGAUCCUCCUGCCUCGGCCUCCCAAAGUGCUGAAUUACAGGUGUGAGCCACCACGCCUGGCCUGGUCCUGUCCAUUUUUACAGAGCAGAGAGCAUCUAGCAUGCCACCACAUUAAUGUAAUGAUAAUAAUUUCCAUUUGUCUAGAGACUUAUGCUUUACAAGGCCCUUAUAGUUUACUUCCCCUUAAUGGUAGUUCAAGUAGCAGAGAAUGACCUUUUCAUUGUCCUUCUCUGUGAUAAGCCAAAGUGAAUGUAAUGUACAUUCUUCAUAGUGAAGGCUUUCUACCUCAUUCAUUUAUUCACAAAAUAUUUAUUGAGCAUGAUUAUGUGUUAAGCACUGAACUGUGCUCUGUGCUGCUGGGCACUGUGUGUUAGGUACAAACACGGCAGAUGGAGCCCCUUCCCCCAUGAAAUGAACAUUCUAAUGGGGCGUUAGUCAAUAAACAAAUAAAUAAAUAGAUUGUCAGGGGGUAAUGAGUGUUAUGGGGAAGAAUAAAGCAGUGGGAGCUGGGAAGCAAUGGGAGGAUGUCAAUCUUAGGGACAUGAGAAGGCACCCUCAUGCAGAGACUUGGGCAACGUGAAGGAUCGCCACUGUGUGACCAACUGGAGGAAGCACGUUCCAAGUCUUGUGGCAGAAAGGAGCUUGGCUGUUUGAGAAUCAGCAGUGAUAUCAGUGUGGCUGGAGGGAAGGGAAGGUGGGACGAGUGGGUGGGAGAUAAUUUCCAGAGGUGGACAGGAUGCAGAUUAUAUGGGAGUUUGGAUUUGAUUCUCAAGUGUGAUGGGACACUAUUGGAGGGUUUUGAGCUGGGGAGAGACAUGCCAUGAAAUGUGAAGUCUGGCCUGCAGGGAAGCAGGUACACCAACUGAAUGAGUUCAAUUUGGAGAUAUAUAUAUUUGAGAUGGAGUUUUGCUCUUGUUGCCCAGGCUGGAGUGCAAUGGCACGAUCUCAGCUCACCGCAACCUCCGCCUCCUGGAUUCAAGCAAUUCUCCUGCCUCAGCCUCCCGAGUAGCUGGGAUUACAGGUGUGUGCCACUACGCUCGGCUAAUUUUGUAUUUUUUUAGUAGAGAUGGGGUUUCUUCAUGUUGGUCAGGCUGGUCUCGAACUCCCAACCUCAGGUGAUCCGCCCACCUCGGCCUCCCAAAGCGCUGGGAUUACAGGUGUGAGCCACCGUGCCCGGCCCAAUUUGGAUAUAUUUUAAAGGACUACCUGAUGCGUUAAAUGUAGAAGAUGGGGGAAUGUAGAAUGCUCCACAGAGUUUUGUCCUGAGCAGCCAGGAGAAAACAAGAUGGAACCCAGUGACUGGCCACCAUGGACACAUGCAAGGGAGAAGGAGAAGUCCCCAGUAGGAAAAGGAAUGUGUACAAUGAAAUGUAAUGAUGUAUAAUACAUUGGCUGUUUUUGAAUUCCAACCAUGGAUUUCCCAGCUACUGGCAGUGAAACUGAUCUUUUCUGUACGUACUCAAGUCAACACUCAAGAAUUUCAACUUACCUUUAGCGAAAGCAAAUAUUUAUAUUUAAAAAGAAAACAUUUGAAUUCAGAAUUCAUUAAGAUAAAAAAGUUAGCAAACUACAGAUGCCUUGUUAGUUGACAGUCCUAAUGGCGACGUCUAGGUCAGAUAACUUAUAUUGACUUAAAACAGCAUUGUCUUGACUUUCCACAGUCGUAUUUGUGAUUAUGGAAAUAAUUUUAAAAAGACUAGUCUCUUUAAUUUACAUUUUCACAAAACGCUGUUGAAAGAGCAAAUGUCUGCUCAGUUGUUUUUCCUUUGCUUAAAAAAAAAAAAAGUGCCAGGAAUCCCACCCCACCCUGCUGCUGGGUAACAGUCAAUCAUUUAUUAUUCCUGGAUCAAACACAAGCAUUCAUGCCUAUGAAAACGUUUGGCAAUGAAUGGGAUCUUGGUCUCUACUAAAAACAAAAAAUGGCUAAAAGGAGACUUCAAUUUAUGUUCAAAUUCUAUGGCUGAAUUCCUAUAAUUCCUAACUGGUGAAAAUAUUGGCAAGCUACAAGAUUUUACUUAGAGUCAGAUUUACUUCUUUGGUGUAUGCCCAGAGGUGUUAUUGAAAGCUAUUUGUGGCCAGCUUUCCAGGAGACCAAAUGGGCCUUAAAUGGAAUGAAUAUUGGCCCUGCAGUACAGUGCACAAGGAGAAGGAGGAGAAUUGGACACUUUUAUUAAAAAAAAAACAAAACUCAUUGGUUAUACUUAACUAAUUUCUACAUAGAAGUUUUAGUAUUUGGCAAAGCAAAAAGUCAUAUCUCAGAAUCACCAAACUUACUAUAUCUGAACCCUUUCUGUUGUAUUUUGGUAUUAAUCCAGGAGUUAUAUAUAUUAUUAAAAUCCUCAUAUAAUCAUGUAAUCAGCCUCACUACCUAUUAAUACAAUGACUUUCAAUCCAGACUCAACAGUUUUCCCUUCCUCAAGCCUAAUCAGCCUGAUAUGGUUUGGAUGUUUUGUCCUUUCCAAAUCCCAGGUUGAAAUGUGAUCACCAAUGUUGGAGGUGGGGCCUAGUGGGAGGUGUUUGGGUCAUAGGGGCAGAUCCCUUAUGAACGGCUUCAUGCCAUCCCCAUGGUAAUGAGUGAGUUCUCACUGUGUCAGUUCACGUGAGAGCUGGUUUAAAGAGCCUGACACCUCCAUCCCCUCUCUCUCACUCCCUGUCCUGCCAGGUGACACGCCUGUCCCCCUUUGUCUUCUGCCAUGAGUGGAAACUUCCUGAGGCCUCACCAGAAGCUGAGCAGAUGCUGGUACCAAACUUGUACAGCCUGUAGAACCACAAGGCAAAUAAAUCUCUUUUUGAAAAUAGAUUACCCAGUCUCAGAUAUUCCUUUAUGGCAAUGCAAAAUGGACUAACACACAGCCCUAAACCUAAUUAAACCCCUAGAAACCAUUACAUCCUCCAAAGUAAUCAAUUCCCCCAAAACUAAUCAUACCCCUUCCCCUAAGCACUCCCAAUCACCAAGUUAACCACUAGCCAUGAUCCACCAAUCAUCCAUGAAACAAAUGUCAUUGUGGCAGAGACCACUAAUCUUUCAAUAUCCAUUUUUCACUUCCUCAUUUCACCAAUAAAACCCUCUACAUUUUAGCUGAGCACAUGACCUCACAGACAGAUAUGAUAUCUCCUGCAAUCCUUUGCAUCUGGGUAAGGCCAUAUGACUAACUUCUGGGUAAUGAGAUGUUUGCAAAAACAAUGCGUUCAACUUCCAAGUCAAGUCCUUAGGAAAAACUAUCCAUUCUUUCUCUGUCCCCCUUUCUUUGGGCUGGACGGUUUGAAGGGAAGUGGUGAGCCGGAUUUAAUCAUUUGCAUGAGGACAACACUAUAGGGUAAGGUGGAGCAGGAAGAAAGAAUGGGGCACCCAAGUCUUCUUGGGGAGCAGUGCAGCCUACAUGCCUUGGACUGUCUACUUUGGCCCCAGAUGUAAUGUAACAAGACUACGCAUCUUAGCAAGAUGAAAAAUUGUUUAAAAAAUUAAGUUUCCACUU
rnacentral:lncRNA from 1 species